rnacentral:rRNA from 1 species
UCACUUUGUCUUUAUGGCAAAUGUGAGAUGCAGUGUAUGGAAUGUCAAAUUUCUAGUAUGAGAAAUUAACGAUUUAAGUCCUUCUUAAAUGAGGCCAUUUACCCAUAGAGGGUGCCAGGCCCGUAUAACGUUAAUGAUUACUAGAUGGCAUUUCCAAAGAGUCGUGUUGCUUGAUAGUGCAGCACUAAGUGGGUGGUAAACUCCAUCUAAAACUAAAUAUAACCAUGAGACCGAUAGUAAACAAGUACCGUGAGGGAAAGUUGAAAAGAACUCUGAAUAGAGAGUUAAAUAGUACGUGAAACUGCUUAGAGGUUAAGCCCGAUGAACCUGAAUAUCCAUUAUAGAAAAUUCAUCAUUAUGAUUUUAAUAUUAAUAAUAUUAUAAUAAUGGUGUGCAUUUUUUCUAUAACGGACAUUGUAAUCUAUUAACAUAAAUAUAUUUAUCAUAAGAUCAAUGAUGCGUAAGUUUAUUCAAAUUAUUUUGCUUGCAAUUUAACAUAGAAUAAAUGCUCUUGAUUUGAUAAAGUGUUGAUAGAUUUAUUGUAUAUAGUGCUUAAAUAUUUAUAUUUUAUAAUAGCAUAUUAAUCAUUGAUUUUUAUGUUUAUUAUAUGCACUUAUAUGAUUAACAAUGCGAAAGAUUCAGGAUACCUUCGGGACCCGUCUUGAAACACGGACCAAGGAGUCUAACAUAUUUGCAAGUUAUUGGGUAUCAAAACCUAAUAGCGAAAUUAACAUAACUUUAAUGGGAUUAGUUUUUAGAUUAUUUUAUAGUCUAUUAAUUCAAUCCCGGGGCGUUCUAUAUAGUUAUGUAUAAUAAUAUUUAUAUUAUUUAUACCUCUAACUAGAGCGUACCUUGAGCAUAUAUGCUGUGACCCGAAAGAUGGUGAACUAUACUUGAUCAGGUUGAAGUCAGGGGAAACCCUGAUGGAAGACCGAAACAGUUCUGACGUGCAAAUCGA